rnacentral:rRNA from 1 species
GACGAACGCUGGCGGCGUGCUUAACACAUGCAAGUCGAACGGUAAGGCCCUUCGGGGUACACGAGUGGCGAACGGGUGAGUAACACGUGGGUGACCUGCCCUGCACUUCGGGAUAAGCCUGGGAAACUGGGUCUAAUACCGGAUAGGACUCCUGGCUUCAUGGUUGGGGGUGGAAAGCUUUUGCGGUGUGGGAUGGGCCCGCGGCCUAUCAGCUUGUUGGUGGGGUAAUGGCCUACCAAGGCGACGACGGGUAGCCGGCCUGAGAGGGUGACCGGUCACACGGGGACUGAGAUACGGCCCAGACUCCGACGGGGGGCAGCAGUGGGGAAUAUUGCACAAUGGGCGCAAGCCUGAUGCAGCGACGCCGCGUGAGGGAUGACGGCCUUCGGGUUGUAAACCUCUUUCAGCUAUGACGAAGCGCAAGUGACGGUAGUAGCAGAAGAAGGACCGGCCAACUACGUGCCAGCAGCCGCCGCGG